rnacentral:lncRNA from 1 species
CUGAGAUGGGGAAGAAGGGAAGAGAGGGAUGGGUGUAGAAACUUGGUGCUGAGUCAUCCUGAUGAAGACAAAUGUCCCAGCAUUUGUCUUCCUCCUCCUUGAAAACAUGGCAGCAGAGGUGCCUGAGGGUCCUCUUCACAGCAGAUGGAAACCUAGGCAUGAAGGCCUGGGGCUAGGAAUGUGACCGGGAAGACAGGAAGACCAGAGGGAAGCUGAGGACCAGACAAGAGGUGCCUGAAGGGUUCUCUGCACAGCAGAUAGAAAUCUAGGCAUGAAGACUUGGAACUAGGAAUUUGAGCAGGAAAUCAGGAAGACCAGAGGGGAGCUGAGGAGCCCAGUCCUUCCAAGCCUGAGACAUUGUAAGCAGUGAGUCCACUGGGAAGGAAAACAACCAGUCCUGGUGUUUUGCCUUCAGGGAAAGCCUUGCUUUUAAGGCAAGUUAAUGUUUACCUGAAGAAUAGGUGACAACUUCCAGAAAGGACUUGGCAUAAUGAACUAUAAUCCAGAAAUAGAGGGCACACCCGUGAUCCAGAUUUUGAGGCCAGAAGACAACAUUCCUUUGAACUGGAUCUUCAGGCUGGAAGACACAACACCUUAAAUCCCCACCUCGAGGCUGGAAGGCACACCUUUAAUCUGGGCCACACCUUCUGCUGAAAUCCUGUAUAAGGACAGUGGAAGAAGGGUUUGUUCUUUUUUCCCUGCUUGCCUUUGCCUUGUCAUUCAGAAGACCAGCUGGGACACCCAGCCUCGUGGGACCAAGCAGCUACUAGAUUCUUGGACUUCCCUUCACAACUAGCCAUUGUUGGACUGCAGCCUGGUAUGCUGGACCUGCAACUCCUUUGCCUGCUACAUGAUGACUGCUCAGUCUCCACAGAGAAGAGAGUGAUUUCCUCUUUGUCCCUGCUUAUAUACUGAUUAUGCCCAGAUAUGCCACUUCCUGUUUAUCAGUACAGACCUCCUGACUUCUAUGAUUAGCUAGUGGCAAGUUUCUGCCCAGCUAUGUCACUUCCUAUCUGGCUAAUUAGCCAACCAGUGUUUUAUUCAUUAACCAAUAAGAGAAACAUAUACAGAGAAGAAUGUUACACAUAACACACCCAUGAGUACACAUGACCUGGUACACAAACACAUAUACCACAUACAGUACAAAAUAAAGUAAAAUAAUAAAAGAAAUAAUAUAUAUAAGGGGUUGUCUUUGAUUUAAACUCCAAGGAAUGGUCGGGCAUUGGUGGUGCACACCUUUA